rnacentral:rRNA from 1 species
UUGUUGUGGAGAGUUUGAUCCUGGCUCAGAACGAACGCUGGCGGCGUGCUUAAUACAUGCAAGUCGAACGAGAAAGCCCGGCUUCGGUUGGGCGAGUAAAGUGGCGAACGGGUGAGUAACACGUGGACAAUCUGCCCUUAAGUCUGGGACAAUCCUUCGAAAGGAGGUCUAAUACCGGAUAAGACCACGGGAUGGCAUCGUCCUGAGGUCAAAGGUGGGGUAACCUAUCGCUUAGGGAUGAGUCCGCGCUCCAUUAGCUUGUUGGUGGGGUAAUGGCCUACCAAGGCUACGAUGGAUAGCCGGCCUGAGAGGGUGAUCGGCCACACUGGGACUGAGAUACGGCCCAGACUCCUACGGGAGGCAGCAGUAGGGAAUAUUGC